rnacentral:ncRNA from 1 species
CACAGUCCGCCCCGUCGUGGUUCUCUGGACCCCAUCGGUCCGGAGCUAAGAGGGAAUUCGGUGCGCCGCAGCUCAUCUGAGCCGGCAAGACCGAAGCUGCCCCCGCAACUGUGAGCGGCGAGCCGACGUCCAUGUGAAGUCACUGGAACUUGACUGUUCCGGGAAGACGGACGAAGGCGACGACCCGUGAGCCAGGAGACCUGCCGCGACAACAUAACGUCC